AUCUCCCCCAAAUCCCCCCCAAACCCCAACCCUGGGCACAUCCCAAAUUCCCGACAAUUGUCCCCAAUUUCUGGACAUUGUCCCCAACUUUCAGAGCUUGUCCCCAAUUUGGGGAGGGGGUCCCGGAUUUGAGGAGGGGUCCCCAAUUUGAGGAGGGGUCUCAGGGAUCCCUAAACACCCCCAAAUCCCCCCCAAACCCCAACCCUGGGCACAUGUCCAAGCAAAAUCCCCAAUUUUUGGGUAUUGUCCCCAAUUCCUGGGUAUUGUCCCCAACUUUCAGGGUCUGUCCCCAAUUUGGGGAGGGGGUCCCCGAUUUGGGGAGGGGUCUCAGGGAUCCCUAAACCCCCCAAAAUCCCCCCAAAACCCCCCUCAAAUCCAACGCUGGGAUUGUCCCCAAUUUCUGGACAUUGUCCCCAACUUUCAGAGCUUGUCCCCAAUAUGGGGAGGGAGUCCCCGAUUUGAGGAGGGGUCCCCAAUUUGGGGAGGGGUCCCUGAGAUCCCCAAAUCCCCCCCAAAUCCCCCCAAAUCCCCCCCAAACCCAACCCUGGGCACAUCCCAAAUUCCCAACAAUUGUCCCCAAUUCCUGGACAUUGUCCCCAACUUUCGGGGUCUGUCCCCAUUUAGAGUAGGGGGUCCCCAAUUUGGGGA
rnacentral:lncRNA from 1 species